UCNUGGGAUAACACUGACGUUCAUGCCCGAAAGCGUGGGUAGCAAACAGGAUUAGAUACCCUGGUAGUNCACGCCCUAAACGAUGUCGAUUAGCUGCUGGGCAGCAUGACUGCUUAGUAGCGAAGCUAACGCGUGAAAUCGACCGCCUGGGGAGUACGGUCGCAAGAUUAAAACUCAAAGGAAUUGACGGGGACCCGCACAAGCGGUGGAUGAUGUGGAUUAAUUCGAUGCAACGCGAAGAACCUUACCUGGUCUUGACAUGUACGGAACCCUCCAGAGACGGAGGGGUGCCUUCGGGAGCCGUAACACAGGUGCUGCAUGGCUGUCGUCAGCUCGUGUCGUGAGAUGUUGGGUUAAGUCCCGCAACGAGCGCAACCCUUGUCAUUAGUUGCCAUCAUUAAGUUGGGCACUCUAAUGAGACUGCCGGUGACAAGCCGGAGGAAGGUGGGGAUGACGUCAAGUCCUCAUGGCCCUUAUGACCAGGGCUUCACACGUCAUACAAUGGUCGGUACAGAGGGUAGCCAAGCCGCGAGGUGGAGCCAAUCUCACAAAACCGAUCGUAGUCCGGAUUGCACUCUGCAACUCGAGUGCAUGAAGUCGGAAUCGCUAGUAAUCGCAGGUCAGCAUACUGCGGUGAAUACGUUCCCGGGUCUUGUACACACCG
rnacentral:rRNA from 1 species